rnacentral:rRNA from 1 species
CGGGAGGCAGCAGUGGGGAAUAUUGCACAAUGGGCGCAAGCCUGAUGCAGCCAUGCCGCGUGUAUGAAGAAGGCCUUCGGGUUGUAAAGUACUUUCAGCAGUGAGGAAGGUGGGUAUGUUAAUAGCAUACUCAUUUGACGUUAGCUGCAGAAGAAGCACCGGCUAACUCCGUGCCAGCAGCCGCGGUAAUACGGAGGGUGCGAGCGUUAAUCGGAAUUACUGGGCGUAAAGCGCAUGCAGGUGGUUUGUUAAGUCAGAUGUGAAAGCCCGGGGCUCAACCUCGGAAUUGCAUUUGAAACUGGCAAACUAGAGUACUGUAGAGGGGGUAGAAUUUCAGGUGUAGCGGUGAAAUGCGUAGAGAUCUGAAGGAAUACCGGUGGCGAAGGCGGCCCCCUGGACAGAUACUGACACUCAGAUGCGAAAGCGUGGGGAGCAAACAGGAUUAGAUACCCUGGUAG